CAAGAACUAUAUGAUUCAAGAACAUUUGACGGCGAUUGCGAGAAUGGGUUAUGACGAUUCAGAAAUAUUAGGCGGACAUCGAUUCCCAGCCGAAUUGUUUCUCUUAUCUCUCUGCGAACACUCAUCAGUUAUCAAUGGCAGCCUCUAAGCUUGAUAGAAGAUCGUUAAGAAGUGGGUGAAGUAACUAAAGAGGCCCGAAAGUGACUGGAAAAUAUGUUAGUGUACAUUUUGCUGCUUUAAUCAUUACUCAUUUGAUAACAAGUUUGUUCCUUUAACACUGUGACACAAUCUUGUAAAAGUAUUUAUGGAGAGUCGGUUAUUUUACUGUUAAAGCUUGUGAUAUUUGCA